GAAGUCUGCAGUGAGGCACAUUGUUCUUCACCCAGGAAUGUUUGGAAGAAAAUCAAACACAAGCCCAGCCUUUCCAGUGUCUGUGAGCAUCUAGCUAAUUUCAGUCACAAAGGCACCUACCUGUCUCCGUUGUCCAGGUUCUGAAAAGCCUCAGCUCACGUUGUACCCACCGGCCUUCUUGGCCCUGAGAGCAGACGGUGUGAAUGACCUGCCUUGGUCCUCCCCCGCUGACAUGGGAACGUAGGCAGCUGUGAUCUCAGAACACACAGCACCGGCAGGCAUUUCACUGUAAGAGGAACCACCUCAGAAGAUAAAAACAACCUGUGAGUGAGCAACGCUUCUGGUCUACUGAGGACGUUUAAGAGAUCUCUCCACUACAGAGACACAGAUCUUCCCUUGCCGUCACUCCCUAAGCAAUACUCUACUGCAACCACUUCCAUUAAAUGGCACGUUGUGAGUAAUCUAGCCAUGGUGUGAAGAACACAGGAAGACCGCACAGGUU
rnacentral:lncRNA from 1 species